rnacentral:rRNA from 1 species
CCUACGGGAGGCUGCAGUGAGGAAUAUUGGUCAAUGGCCGUAAGGCUGAACCAGCCAAGUAGCGUGAGGGAAGACUGCCCUCUGGGUUGUAAACCUCUUUUAUGCGGGGGUAAAGGUGUCCACGGGUGGAUGUUUGCAGGUACCGCAUGAAUAAGGACCGGCUAAUUCAGUGCCAGCCGCCGCGGUAAUACGGAAGGUCCGGCCGUUAUCCGGAUUUAUUGGGUUUAAAGGGAGCGUAGGCCGGUCUUUAAGCGUGCCGUGAAAUUUUGUGGGUCAACCAGGGGAGUGCGUCGGGGACUGGAGACCUGGAGUGAGCGGAAGGCAGGCGGAAUUCGAGGUGUAGCGGUGAAAUGCUUAGAUAUAACGAAGAACCCCGAUUGCGAAGGCAGCCUGCCGCAGCGUUACUGACGCUGAAGCUCGAAAGCGCGGGUAUCGAACAGGAUUAGAUACCCUAGUAGUC